GCGACGAUCUGUAGCGGGUCUGAGAGGAUGAUCCGCCACACUGGAACUGAGACACGGUCCAGACUCCUACGGGAGGCAGCAGUGGGGAAUUUUGGACAAUGGGGGCAACCCUGAUCCAGCCAUGCCGCGUGAGUGAAGAAGGCCUUCGGGUUGUAAAGCUCUUUCGGCCGGGAAGAAAUCGCAUGGGCCAAUACCCUGUGUGGAUGACGGUACCGGAAUAAGAAGCACCGGCUAACUACGUGCCAGCAGCCGCGGUAAUACGUAGGGUGCGAGCGUUAAUCGGAAUUACUGGGCGUAAAGCGUGCGCAGGCGGUUUUGUAAGACAGGCGUGAAAUCCCCGGGCUCAACCUGGGAACUGCGUUUGUGACUGCAAGGCUAGAGUACGGCAGAGGGGGGUGGAAUUCCACGUGUAGCAGUGAAAUGCGUAGAGAUGUGGAGGAACACCAAUGGCGAAGGCAGCCCCCUGGGUCGAUACUGACGCUCAUGCACGAAAGCGUGGGUAGCAAACAGGAUUAGAUACCCUGGUAGUCCACGCCCUAAACUAUGUCAACUAGGUGUUGGGUGGGUAAAACCAUUUAGUACCGUAGCUAACGCGUGAAGUUGACCGCCUGGGGAGUGCGGCCGCAAGGUUAAAACUCAAAGGAAUUGACGGGGACCCGCACAAGCGGUGGAUGAUGUGGAUUAAUUCGAUGCAACGCGAAAAACCUUACCUACCCUUGACAUGCCAGGAACUUGCCAGAGAUGGCUUGGUGCCCGAAAGGGAGCCUGGACACAGGUGCUGCAUGGCUGUCGUCAGCUCGUGUCGUGAGAUGUUGGGUUAAGUCCCGCAACGAGCGCAACCCUUGUCGUUAAUUGCCAUCAUUUAGUUGGGCACUUUAGCGAGACUGCCGGUGACAAACCGGAGGAAGGUGGGGAUGACGUCAAGUCCUCAUGGCCCUUAUGGGUAGGGCUUCACACGUCAUACAAUGGUCGGUACAAAGGGUCGCCAAGCCGCGAGGUGAAGCCAAUCCCAGAAAGCCGAUCGUAGUCCGGAUUGCAGGCUGCAACUCGCCUGCAUGAAGUCGGAAUCGCUAGUAAUCGUGGAUCAGCAUGUCACGGUGAAUACGUUCCCGGGUCUUGUACACACCGCCCGUCACACCAUGGGAGCGGGUUCCGCCAGAAGUAGGUAGCCUAACCGCAAGGAGGGCGCUUACCACGGCGGGGUUCGUGACUGGGGUGAAGUCGUAACAAGGUA
rnacentral:rRNA from 1 species